rnacentral:rRNA from 1 species
GACGAACGCUGGCGGCGUGCCUAAUACAUGCAAGUAGAACGCAGUUGCGAACGGGUGAGUAACGCGUAGGUAACUGCCUCAUAGCGGGGGAUAACUAUUGGAAACGGUAGCUAAUACCCCAUACUGUGGGCUGGACCUGCGUUGUAUUAGGUAGUUGGGGAGGUAAAGGCUCACCAAGGCGACGAUACAUAGCCGGCCUGAGAGGGUGAUCGGCCACACUGGGACUGAGACACGGCCCAGACUCCUACGGGAGGCAGCAGUAGGGAAUCUUCGGCAAUGGACGGAAGUCUGACCGAGCAAUGCCGCGUGAGUGAAGAAGGCUUUCGGAUCGUAAAACUCUGUUGUUAGAGAAGCGGUAUCUAACCAGAAAGCCACGGCUAACUACGUGCCAGCAGCCGCGGUAAUAC